UAACAGGAAAUAGCUUGCUAUUUUGCUGACGAGUGGCGCACGGGUGCGUAACGCGUAUACAAUCUACCUUUUGCUGAGGGAUAGCCCAGAGAAAUUUGGAUUAAUACCUCAUGGUAUUAUUGAUAGGCAUCUAUUAAUAAUUAAAGGUUACAGCAAAAGAUGGGUAUGCGUCCCAUUAGCUAGUUGGUGAAGUAACGGUUCACCAAGGCAACGAUGGGUAGGGGUCCUGAGAGGGAGAUCCCCCACACUGGUACUGAGACACGGACCAGACUCC
rnacentral:rRNA from 1 species